AUUGAACGCUGGCGGAAUGCUUUACACAUGCAAGUCGAACGGCAGCACGGGGCAACCUGGUGGCGAGUGGCGAACGGGUGAGUAAUACAUCGGAACGUGCCCAAUCGUGGGGGAUAACGUAGCGAAAGUUACGCUAAUACCGCAUACGAUCUACGGAUGAAAGCGGGGGAUCGCAAGACCUCGCGCGAAUGGAGCGGCCGAUGUCAGAUUAGGUAGUUGGUGGGGUAAAGGCUCACCAAGCCGACGAUCUGUAGCUGGUCUGAGAGGACGACCAGCCACACUGGGACUGAGACACGGCCCAGACUCCUACGGGAGGCAGCAGUGGGGAAUUUUGGACAAUGGGCGCAAGCCUGAUCCAGCCAUUCCGCGUGCAGGAUGAAGGCCUUCGGGUUGUAAACUGCUUUUGUACGGAACGAAACGGUGAGCUCUAAUACAGUUUGCUAAUGACGGUACCGUAAGAAUAAGCACCGGCUAACUACGUGCCAGCAGCCGCCGUAAGAC
rnacentral:rRNA from 1 species